rnacentral:rRNA from 1 species
ACCAGACUCCUACGGGAGGCAGCAGUAGGGAAUAUUGGGCAAUGGGCGCAAGCCUGACCCAGCAACGCCGCGUGAAGGAAGAAGGCUUUCGGGUUGUAAACUUCUUUUGACAGGGAAGAGUAGAAGACGGUACCUGUCGAAUAAGCCACGGCUAACUCCGUGCCAGCAGCCGCGGUAAUACGGAGGAUGCGAGCGUUAUCCGGAUUUAUUGGGUUUAAAGGGUGCGUAGGCGGAAUGCCAAGUCAGCGGUAAAAUCGCGGGGCUCAACCUCGCUCCGCCGUUGAAACUGGCGUUCCUGAGUGGGCGAGAAGUAUGCGGAAUGCGUGGUGUAGCGGUGAAAUGCAUAGAUAUCACGCAGAACUCCGAUUGCGGAGGCAGCAUACCAGCGCCCGACUGACGCUGAAGCACGAAAGCGUGGGUAUCGAACAGGAUUAGAUACCCUAGUA